rnacentral:rRNA from 1 species
UAGGGAAUCUUCCGCAAUGGGCGAAAGCUUGACGGAGCAACGCCGCGUGAGUGAUGAAGGUCUUCGGAUCGUAAAACUCUGUUAUUAGGGAAGAACAAAUGUGUAAGUAACUAUGCACGUCUUGACGGUACCUAAUCAGAAAGCCACGGCUAACUACGUGCCAGCAGCCGCGGUAAUACGUAGGUGGCAAGCGUUAUCCGGAAUUAUUGGGCGUAAAGCGCGCGUAGGCGGUUUUUUAAGUCUGAUGUGAAAGCCCACGGCUCAACCGUGGAGGGUCAUUGGAAACUGGAAAACUUGAGUGCAGAAGAGGAAAGUGGAAUUCCAUGUGUAGCGGUGAAAUGCGCAGAGAUAUGGAGGAACACCAGUGGCGAAGGCGACUUUCUGGUCUGUAUCUGACGCUGAUGUGCGAAAGCGUGGGGAUCAAACAGG